rnacentral:rRNA from 1 species
UACGUAGGGGGCAAGCGUUGUCCGGAUUUAUUGGGCGUAAAGAGCGUGUAGGCGGUUUGGUAGGUCCGCUGUGAAAACUCGAGGUUCAACCUCGAGACGCCGGUGGAAACCAUCAGACUAGAGUCCGGAAGAGGAGAGUGGAAUUCCUGGUGUAGCGGUGAAAUGCGCAGAUAUCAGGAAGAACACCCGUGGCUAAGGCGGCUCUCUGGGCCUUACCUGACGCUCAGGUGCGAAAGCUAGGGGAGCAAACAGG